UACAGAGGUCUCAAGCGUUUGUUCGGAUUCAUUGGGCGUAAAGGGUGUGUAGGUGGCGCCGUAAGUCGGGUGUGAAAUUUCGGAGCUUAACUCCGAAACUGCAUUCGAUACUGCGGUGCUUGAGGACUGGAGAGGAGACUGGAAUUCAUGGUGUAGCAGUGAAAUGCGUAGAGAUCAUGAGGAAGACCAGUGGCGAAGGCGGGUCUCUGGACAGUUCCUGACACUGAGACACGAAAGCCAGGGGAGCAAACGGG
rnacentral:rRNA from 1 species